rnacentral:rRNA from 1 species
CAUCACUACGCUAGAUGCAUAUCAAUAAGCGGAGGAAAAGUCAGCUACCUACGCUUAGGAUGUUGACGAGACUGUCGAUCUCAUCUAUACAUGACUCUGUGCAUAUCAAUAAGCGGAGGAAAAGGAACUAACAAGGAUUCCCCUGGUAACGGCGAGUGAAGCGGGAAGAGCUCAAAUUUGAAAUCUUAAAGGGUUUCCCUUUACGAAUUGUAGUUUAAAGAAGUGUUUUCUGUUGGAGUUUCGGUAAAAGUUCUUUGGAAUAGGACAUCAUAGAGGGUGGGAAUCCCGUAUUUGACCGUUACUUUCCAGCUGUGUGAUACACUUUCAAAGAGUCGGAUUGUUUGGGAAUGCAGUCCAAAAUGGGUGGUAAAUUUCAUCUAAAGCUAAAUAUUGGCGAGAGACCGAUAGCAAACAGGUACCGUGAGGGAAAGAUGAAAAGAACUUUGAAAAGAGAGUUAAACAGUACGUGAAAUUGUCAAAAGGGAAGCGUUUGACACCAGUGUUGUUUUUCCGAAAAUCAAUUACGAAUGUUUUGUUUUUGAGGAGUUAUGACUUCAUCGGCUUGCUCCUUUCUUUACGAAACUUUCUUAAUGCACUUUUCGGUUAACAAGUCAACAUCAAUUUCCUUUGUUGUAAAAGGGUAUGAGGAAGGUGGCUUUCUUUUCGGAGAAAGUGUUUAUAGCCUUGUGCCUCUGCAAUCGGAGAGAUUGAGGUCUGCAGCGUAGAUCCUUCGGGGUUAGAUACGUUUGUGCUAAGUUAUAGCUUUUCAUAGACAACUUGUUGACUAUGUUUAGUCUUGUAGCUUACUCGCUGACGCUAUUUUACCUACGCUUAGGAUGUUGACGAGACUGUCGAUCUC